GUCAUCGCAAUAGUUUACGUUGAUGUCAAUGAGUAUCCUCACGACUCCAAUUUGACCAUUUCCAUCCUGCUUGAUGUGCUGCUAAUGCACCACCGCAUCUUUAAACCCAAACUCCAUCUACAAAUGGACAAUUGUUGGAGGGAGAACAAGAAUCGCUACAUUCUUUCAUUCUUGUUCUUCCUUGUGCAUAUAGAUGUUUUUGAAGAGGUAUCUCUGAACUUCUUACCAGUUGGUCAUACGCAUGAGGAUGUUGAUCAGAUGUUCAGAUGUAUCAAUACAGCCAUUUCUUCCUGCGGCAAUAUCA